rnacentral:misc_RNA from 1 species
UCUCCGUUGGUGAACCAGCGGAGGGAUCAUUAUCAAGUUUAUAACUCCAAACCCCUAUGUGAACUUACCACUUGUUGCUUCGGCGCGCGCUUCGGCGCCGCCGAGGCCACUUAAACUCUUUGUUUUUAUAAGCAUUUCUGAGUGGCCGAAAGGCAAAAUACAAAUGAAUCAAAACUUUCAACAACGGAUCUCUUGGUUCUG